rnacentral:rRNA from 1 species
AACGAACGCUGGCGGCAUGCCUAACACAUGCAAGUCGAACGAGACCUUCGGGUCUAGUGGCGCACGGGUGCGUAACGCGUGGGAACCUGCCUUUAGGUUCGGAAUAACUCAGAGAAAUUUGAGCUAAUACCGGAUGAUGUCUUCGGACCAAAGAUUUAUCGCCUUUAGAUGGGCCCGCGUUGGAUUAGCUAGUUGGUGGGGUAAAGGCCUACCAGGCGACGAUCCAUAGCUGGUCUGAGAGGAUGAUCAGCCACACUGGGACUGAGACACGGCCCAGACUCCUACGGGAGGCAGCAGUGGGGAAUAUUGGACAAUGGGCGAAAGCCUGAUCCAGCAAUGCCGCGUGAGUGAUGAAGGCCUUAGGGUUGUAAAGCUCUUUUACCCGAGAUGAUAAUGACAGUAUCGGGAGAAUAAGCUCCGGCUAACUCCGUG